CUCUCAACUCUACUUGAAUGCAACAGCAGCUAGUGAUGAACUUUGAAAGACAGGCACUGGAGUACCAUGUAUCAGAGUGCCCUUUGCUAGGGGCAGCUAUAUAGCUUCCUGGCCAGAAACAGGUUUCCUAUCAAAGGGAACAUUUGUGGCUUACUCUUCUAUGGAGCAACAAACCCUGUGAGCUCAGAAACUGUUAAACACACUGAAUUGGAUGACUGAAGAAAUGCUCGUUUCCAGCAGUUAACAGUCGUUCCCUGCUCUCAUCUCCAUACACAGAGAUCAGAACAUAGGACGAAACUGUUUUAAAAUCAAGCUGAAGAUAUUCCCCCUUCUUCUGCAGAUAUCCACUUACAGUCUCAGUAUACUAAUUUUCUUGCACAUCUGUAGAAAAGCUUGUUUAUUCAAGGGAACUUUUGGUAGGAGAGGAGCUUCACAAGGAAUAAUCUUCUCACAAACCUGCAAAGCCAGCAAUUAAUUAAGACUGCAGCAUUAUUUAGGAAUAGAAUUCGGCUCCAGCUCCUGUUUGCUUGGUGCUGAGGUUCCUGUGGCAGACAGCGAAGCUGAGAAUCCACUCCCUUUUCUUUGCCCCAGGUGCUACCGAUGUCACCCCGGUGUCCC